UGCUGGCUGCGAGUAAGGCCUCGUUCCAUGUUCCCACUCCGUGGGAGGUUGGGCAGGGUGGUCCUGCCCCGUGGCCUCCUGCAGUGCGGCCCUCCCUGCCUUCUAGGCGACGCAGCCCUGUUGCGCUUCCGGCGCCUGCUGGUGGCUGAGCUGCAGCGCGGCUUCUUUGACAAGCACAUCUGGCUCUCCAUACGGGACCGGCCGCCUCGUAGCCAUUUCACUCACAUCCAGAGGGCCACCUGCUGCGUUCUCCUGGGCGCCAACGCCGUGUGGUACGGGGCUGUUGGCGACUCUGCCUACAGCACGGGGCGUGUGUCCAGGCUGAGCCCGCUGAGCGUCGACACAGUCGCUGUUGGCCUAGUGUCCAGCGUGGUUGUCUAUCCCGUCUACCUGGCCAUCCUCUUUCUCUUCCGGAUGUCCCGGAGCAAGUGCUGCAGCCGGAGGGAAAGGCAUCCACCAAAGGCUGCUCGGGAAGGGUCAACACACUUGAGCAGCCUUAGCUAGACCAGGGAGAAAGAGAGAAGACUCAGAAGCCAGAAUCGUGAAAGAACGAGGGCACUUUGCUAAGCAGACGCCACGGACAACUGCACAGCAGCACGCCAGAUAACUCAGAAGAAGCAAGCACGCGGCUGUGCAUGCUUCCGAAAUGCACUCCAGAAGAAAAUCUCAGUACAUCUAUAGCAAGUGAAGAGGCCGAGUUAGUCCCUUAGAAACCUCCCAGUGGCCGGGCCGGGUGUGGUGGCUCACGCCUGUAAUCCCAACACUUCAGGAGGCCGAGGUGGGCGGAUCUGAGUCCAGGAGUUUGAGACCAGCCUGGGCAACAUAGCAAGACCCCAUCUAUAUAAAAUAUUAAAAAGGGCCAGGCGCGGUGGCUCACGCCUGUAAUCCCAGCACUUUGGGAGGCCGAGGCGGGCAGAUCACUUGAGGUCAGGAGUUCGAGACCAGCCUGGCCAACACAAUGAAACCCCGUCUCUACUACAAAUACAAAAACUUAGCUGGGCAUGGUGGCGGGCACCUGUAGUCCCAGCUACUCGAGAGGCUGAGGCAGGAGAAUGGCAUGAACCCAGGAGGCGGAGCUUGCAGUGAGCCGAGAUUGCGCCACUGCCCUCCAUCCUGGGCAACGGAGCAAGACUCCGUCUCCAAA
rnacentral:lncRNA from 1 species